rnacentral:misc_RNA from 1 species
UAUCCGUAGGUGAACCUGCGGAAGGAUCAUUAUUGGAUUUUGAAACUUCAGGCUGCUGCUGGCUCUCCUCGGAGGGCAUGUGCACGCUUGUUGUCCAUUAUUUCUCCCUCUGUGCACAAAUUGUAGACCUUUCAGUAGGCCUAUGUUGUUUUUCACAAUCUCUGAAUGUAAUAGAAUGGUUUUGAAUCUUGGGAAAUACAAUACAACUUUCAGCAACGGAUCUCUUGGCUCUC